GUGGGGAAUAUUGCACAAUGGGCGCAAGCCUGAUGCAGCAACGCCGCGUGAGGGAUGACGGCCUUCGGGUUGUAAACCUCUUUUAGUAGGGAAGAAGCGAAAGUGACGGUACCUGCAGAAAAAGCACCGGCUAACUACGUGCCAGCAGCCGCGGUAAUACGUAGGGUGCAAGCGUUGUCCGGAAUUAUUGGGCGUAAAGAGCUCGUAGGCGGCUUGUCGCGUCUGCUGUGAAAACCCGAGGCUCAACCUCGGGCCUGCAGUGGGUACGGGCAGGCUAGAGUGCGGUAGGGGAGAUUGGAAUUCCUGGUGUAGCGGUGGAAUGCGCAGAUAUCAGGAGGAACACCGAUGGCGAAGGCAGAUCUCUGGGCCGUAACUGACGCUGAGGAGCGAAAGCAUGGGGAGCGAACAGGAUUAGAAACCCCUGUAGUCC
rnacentral:rRNA from 1 species